ACGAACGCUGGCGGCGUGCCUAAUACAUGCAAGUCGAACGAAACUUUCUUACACCGAAUGCUUGCAUUCACCGUAAGAAGUUGAGUGGCGGACGGGUGAGUAACACGUGGGUAACCUGCCUAAAAGAAGGGGAUAACACUUGGAAACAGGUGCUAAUACCGUAUAUCUCUAAGGAUCGCAUGAUCCUUAGAUGAAAGAUGGUUCUGCUAUCGCUUUUAGAUGGACCCGCGGCGUAUUAACUAGUUGGUGGGGUAACGGCCUACCAAGGUGAUGAUACGUAGCCGAACUGAGAGGUUGAUCGGCCACAUUGGGACUGAGACACGGCCCAAACUCCUACGGGAGGCAGCAGUAGGGAAUCUUCCACAAUGGACGCAAGUCUGAUGGAGCAACGCCGCGUGAGUGAAGAAGGUCUUCGGAUCGUAAAACUCUGUUGUUAGAGAAGAACACGAGUGAGAGUAACUGUUCAUUCGAUGACGGUAUCUAACCAGCAAGUCACGGCUAACUACGUGCCAGCAGCCGCGGUAAUACGUAGGUGGCAAGCGUUGUCCGGAUUUAUUGGGCGUAAAGGGAACGCAGGCGGUCUUUUAAGUCUGAUGUGAAAGCCUUCGGCUUAACCGGAGUAGUGCAUUGGAAACUGGAAGACUUGAGUGCAGAAGAGGAGAGUGGAACUCCAUGUGUAGCGGUGAAAUGCGUAGAUAUAUGGAAGAACACCAGUGGCGAAAGCGGCUCUCUGGUCUGUAACUGACGCUGAGGUUCGAAAGCGUGGGUAGCAAACAGGAUUAGAUACCCUGGUAGUCCACGCCGUAAACGAUGAAUGCUAGGUGUUGGAGGGUUUCCGCCCUUCAGUGCCGCAGCUAACGCAAUAAGCAUUCCGCCUGGGGAGUACGACCGCAAGGUUGAAACUCAAAGGAAUUGACGGGGGCCCGCACAAGCAGUGGAGUAUGUGGUUUAAUUCGAAGCAACGCGAAGAACCUUACCAGGUCUUGACAUCCUACUAACGAGAUAGAGAUAUGUUAGGUGCCCUUCGGGGAAAGUAGAGACAGGUGGUGCAUGGUUGUCGUCAGCUCGUGUCGUGAGAUGUUGGGUUAAGUCCCGCAACGAGCGCAACCCUUGUUGUCAGUUGCCAGCAUUAAGUUGGGCACUCUGGCGAGACUGCCGGUGACAAACCGGAGGAAGGUGGGGACGACGUCAAGUCAUCAUGCCCCUUAUGACCUGGGCUACACACGUGCUACAAUGGACGGUACAACGAGUCGCGAGACCGCGAGGUUUAGCUAAUCUCUUAAAGCCGUUCUCAGUUCGGAUUGUAGGCUGCAACUCGCCUACAUGAAGUCGGAAUCGCUAGUAAUCGCGAAUCAGCAUGUCGCGGUGAAUACGUUCCCGGGCCUUGUACACACCGCCCGUCACACCAUGAGAGUUUGUAACACCCAAAGCCGGUGGGGUAACCGCAAGGAGCCAGCCGUCUAAGGUGGGACAGAUGAUUGGGGUG
rnacentral:rRNA from 1 species